GAUGAACGCUGACAGAAUGCUUAACACAUGCAAGUCAACUUGAAUUUGGGUUUUUUAACUUAGAUUUGGGUGGCGGACGGGUGAGUAACGCGUAAAGAACUUGCCUCACAGCUAGGGACAACAUUUGGAAACGAAUGCUAAUACCUGAUAUUAUGAUUAUAAGGCAUCUUAGAAUUAUGAAAGCUAUACGCGCUGUGAGAGAGCUUUGCGUCCCAUUAGCUAGUUGGAGAGGUAACGGCUCACCAAGGCGAUGAUGGGUAGCCGGCCUGAGAGGGUGAACGGCCACAAGGGGACUGAGACGCGGCCCUUACUCCUACGGGAGGCAGCAGUGGGGAAUAUUGGACAAUGGACCAAGAGUCUGAUCCAGCAAUUCUGUGUGCACGAUGACGUUUUUCGGAAUGUAAAGUGCUUUCAGUUGGGAAGAAAAAAAUGACGGUACCAACAGAAGAAGUGACGGCUAAAUACGUG
rnacentral:rRNA from 1 species